rnacentral:rRNA from 1 species
UACGUAGGGUCCGAGCGUUGUCCGGAAUUACUGGGCGUAAAGAGCUCGUAGGUGGUUUGUCGCGUUGUCCGUGAAAACUCACAGCUUAACUGUGGGCGUGCGGGCGAUACGGGCAGACUGGAGUACUGCAGGGGAGACUGGAAUUCCUGGUGUAGCGGUGAAAUGCGCAGAUAUCAGGAGGAACACCGGUGGCGAAGGCGGUUCUCUGGGCCUGUACUGACGCUGAGGAACGAAAGCGUGGGGAGCGAACAGG